rnacentral:sRNA from 1 species
ACAAGCCGAGGGAUAACUCACCGCGCCGGCAUGACGUGAUCGGCUGCUGCUGAGUUGCAUGGAAACAACACUCCGCUCUGCCUUUUGGCUUCCAAUUCCGCAACGCCCGUGACGGACAUAUGGAUGUGUCUGUCAAUUAAUUAAUACCCAUGCUGGUGACUUUGUGUGACCUGCAUCCAUUUUCACCUUCUACAAUUUCUCCUGCGUCCAUAGCACUCGAACUCGCAUCCAUCUCUGCCAAUCGUAUCCAGAACACCCAAAAUGGCUACUGAAACACCCAAAGGGCAUAACCUGAUGCAGGCGUCACUAAUAUAGCGGCGCGUAGCACUGCUGGAAUAGGUGUGGUCACGUGGAAUUCUAGCUGUGCCAUAGGAGUAGGGAUAUGCCCAACAUACAAUUGUAUCGCCGUAGGUGGCUGACAUUACAUUCCACAAAAGACAACCAAACGCAGCCGGAAAAUUUAAAUACGUCCAUUAUAAAAGAGAUAUGUAUAUAUAUACAGAUACAGAUACUUCCAUUGGAAACCGCGUAGCAGCGGCGGGGGAGUACGGGGGGAAGAAAGGCAGGCUGGCAGGCUGGGGGGCUGGCUGAGGCUAGGCGUUCAAUAGUAACAGCACGUUGCUGGAGCUGUUUGAGUUAAACGGGCUGCCUGUAUGUCUGCGAGGGGAUUGACUGAUUUCACUGAUUUGUUCAUGCAUGCACGAGCCACGACUGGAUGGAGAUGGAGAGUUGAUGGGAAAUAGCCACGAAGGCAUAAAUGUGAGUUUGUUGAUUCUUUUUACAUUCCAACCACCCCUUGUAGCCAGGAACGCCAGGAUGCCGGGAACGCCAGGACAAUAGACGUAGAGGAACAUUGGCUUACCAGGAAGUACAUUCACCCCCUUUCUACCCAGGAAAAAGAAAAGAAAAGAAAAGAAAAACCAAAAGCAAAAACAAAACAAAACAAAAACAAAAACCACCAAAUGAAAUCUAUAUAUCCUAUCCAUCUAUCCAUUCCCGGGUUAUCCAGUCGCGGGCUGCUGUGCUCGCUGCCGCUCCUGCUGUGGCUGUUGCUGCCGCUGUGGCUGUUGCUGCCGCUGGUGCGGCCUCACUGGCUGCUGCAAAUGCUUUGGGGGCUCUCGCGCGGGGAUCGGAUCACCAAGAUGCCGCGGCUUCCCAUCCCAGCCGAAAUCGGGCCAGCCGUGCGGCAGGGAGGCGAACGGGGGCAUGGUGUAGCGGCCCUCGCAGGUGCCUAUGUUCCUGCACGACAGAUUGCAGUAUCCGUACUGCUUGCAGUAGCACUCACUCGCGGUGGGGCAGUGGACGGGGUCGCGGCCGA